CCUACGGGAGGCAGCAGAGGGAAUCUUCCACAAUGGGCGCAAGCCUGAUGGAGCAACACCGCGUAAGUGAAGAAGGGUUUCGGCUCGUAAAACUCUGUUGUUGAAGAAGAACGUGCGUGAGAGUAACUGUUCAUGCAGUGACGGUAUUCGACCAGAAAGUCACGGCUAACUACGUGCCAGCAGCCGCGGUAAUACGUAGGUGCCAGCAGCCGCGGUAAUACGUAGGUGCCAGCAGCCGCGGUAAUACGUACGUGCCAGCAGCCGCGGUAAU
rnacentral:rRNA from 1 species